rnacentral:misc_RNA from 1 species
CUAGCCUUAUCUUAUCGUCAUAUCAUUACACGCGCACAUUCACGUGUGAACCCAGUGGACGGUGUGUAGGUAGAACAUUACUACACCGGAAACGAACAUUUCCGGUACGUUUAUAUGGAACAAACCGCUUGAUUUUCAAGAAGACGACGAGCGCACCGGUAUACGUAGAACGUGUAAUUUUUCACACCGAUAUAUCAACGAUACGCUAGCGUACGAUGUGGACCGAAAACCAUGAGAUAGAUAGAUCAUUUAUCGAUGACGCGGUCUUUUCGGACUCCGGGUUCAUCGCUGCAUUGGUUGGUUGACCGUGCCGUACUCUCGAUCAAGGGGAUGAUGGAAAGGGUCCGCGAAAGGCACUUAUACGUGUUACGUCUAUAAGU